UUAAAGUUUUAUUCUUGCUCUUAUAUUCAUUUUAUGAUUGUUCCACAUGCAAAUAUUUUUAAUACUAUUAAAGCAGUGGUAAAUAUUAUUUUUCAAUGAAAGUUGGAUAUAGCAAUUUAUAUAUCUCUGGUUAAAAUCGUGCCAGCCACCGCGGUUAUACGUUAGGAGAAAGUGAAUAUUUUUGGUUUUGCAGUUAAAUUUAUUGUCCUUUAAAUUUAAAAUUUUUAGGUGAAAUUUUAAUUUUAUUAUAAAAGGUUCUUUUGAAGCUGUUAAAUUUAUUUUAUAAACUAGGAUUAGAUACCCUAUUAUUUUAAAUGUAAAUAUAAACCUGGGUAGUAAUAGUUAUGUUCUUGAAACCCAAAGAAUUUGGCGGUAUUUUAUUCUUUUUAGAGGAACCUGUCCUGUAAUUGAUAGUCCACGAUGGAAAUUACUUGUUUUUGUAUUCAUUUUGUAUACCUCCGUCAUCAGAGUAUCUUUUUAGAGUUAAUAUUCUAAAUAUACAAAAUAUAUUAUGUCAGGUCAAGGUGCAAUUUAUGGACAAGUAGAGAUGGGUUACAAUAAAAUUAUUUAUACGGAUUAUUAUUAUUAUAGAUAAUAUGAAGGUGGAUUUAAAAGUAAAAUUAUUUACUUGAUAUUUUGAUUUUAGCUCUAAAAUAUGCACACAUCGCCCGUCGCUCUUAUUUUAAAAUAAGAUAAGUCGUAACAUAGUAGGGGUACCGGAAGGUGUCCCUAGUAAGUA
rnacentral:ncRNA from 2 species